UACGUAGGGUCCAAGCGUUGUCCGGAAUUAUUGGGCGUAAAGAGCUCGUAGGUGGUGUGUCGCGUCGGAUGUGAAAGCCCGGGGCUUAACCCCGGGUCUGCAUUCGGUACGGGCAUGCUGGAGUUCGGUAGGGGAGACUGGAAUUCCAGGUGUAGCGGUGAAAUGCGUAGAUAUCUGGAGGAACACCGGUGGCGAAGGCGGCAUCCUGGACCGACACUGACGCUGAGGAGCGAAAGCCAGGGGAGCAAACGGG
rnacentral:rRNA from 1 species